GAUAGCGUGGCCGAGGCGUCUAAGUGCUGGAUUAAGGCUCCAGUUUCUUCGGAGGCGGGUUUGAAUCCCACCGCUGUCA